rnacentral:siRNA from 1 species
CAGAAAUCGUGCGUCUGUGGGUA